AUAAUCUUUAAUGUGGUCCAGAGAGGCCGACAAGAUUAGUAGUUAAGUGUAUAGAAUAUAUUUACAAUUUAUUGUGAUAACUAUAACUUCUUGUCGGUGGACAAGAAGUUUUUUAUU
rfam:Clostridium botulinum D str. 1873 CLG.Contig177, whole genome shotgun sequence.